rnacentral:sRNA from 1 species
AAAUUCAUUUAUGUUGUUGUUAUGGUGGUGUUCGUAUGUGCAGGAUUUACCGGAUGAUAAAUCCGCGUUUGUGGUGUCAUGUUUUGCCUUGCCGGUAUGCUGGCGUUGAGCAUGGCUAGAGCUCGCCGGAUGGGGGUGGUUCUUGCAACCAAUGACAACUUUACGCCGAAAUAAGUCCACAAAAAUAGGGGUAGACGAAGAUACAAUGAAAAAAAGGAGAACACGUUCACUCACGAAAUGAAUAGACAAAUUGACCCUAACACCUUUCGAAAUUAGCCUAAGCCAACAACAUGUUUAGGAUUCUAUUCAACGUUAUAAAAUCUUUCAUAGUUUUAUUCUAGCGAACGACUAAAAUACAAAACAGAAUUGCAAUAGAAAUUUAGUUUGAAAAUCCCAUAGGAAAUUAAAUGCAAACAUUCGGAAAAUGUGAAAUUUAAAAGAUAAAAAAGGAAAUAAAAAAAAAACAAAAUCAGAAUAAACUUAGAAAAAACAAUAAUAUGAAACGGUCUUUCUUUUCUUCUUCUAGUUUAGAAACAGGACCAGGAAUAAUGCGAGACGGACUCCCAGAUCGGUAGAUGAUGAUGGCACCUGCUUGGUACCGGUAGAUGGACCCUCAGUUGAUCUGUCCGUCCGUAUGUGUCUGUCUGUUUAUUGUCUUUUUCUCUCUGUGGCGUUAUAUGUAAAAAUAUGCAUAUGCAUGUAUUUUUCUUAGCUUCUCUUGCAUUAGAGCUAGCACAAUCGGCAUCACUAUUGGGACACUACCCCCACUUUAAACCUACGCCAAAGCUAGUUAAAAAAGAUAUAGGCUGAAACAAAAGGAAAAUUAGGAAGUCAAGUCUGGAAUCCGUUUGUUCGAAGUUAAUGGUAAUUCAACCGUCCGCAUAGGGCUUUACAUGGGGCAUGUGGGUCUGAGCAUGCCAGUUUGCUGCGUCUCCCACGUUGAUUGAAGCGGUGAUAGUGGCUGGACGUGGCCGAAAAGAUACGUUUAUGUUUGUAGUUCAAAUCUUGCUUCUAAUUUUGAGGUUUUGUUUAGCUUGUAAGUUUACGGCUUAUUUAGCUUGUAAGUUUUUGCUUAUUUAGCUUGUAAGUUUAUGGUUUAUUUAGCUUGUAAGUGUUUGGGUAGUUUAUUUUAUUUAGCAGGUUAUUUAGCAAGUAAGUUCAUUUGGCUCUUAAGAUUAAAGUCUUUUUUUCAGGUGUAUCUUUUUCAUAUUUAGGUUACAAAUUCAAGUUUCAAUGUUUGUUUGGCACACAAUUAACCAUCAAUAAAAACACAAGCAUUAGCAUCUCUUUCUUCUUUUUUAAAAGGUCAUACUACAAGGCAUAUGCCUGGCUUUAGUUUCACAACAACAAAAAAACACUCGAUUUCACUCGAUUCCACACAUCCAACCAGCUUCAAUGUUCAAAUCCAAGAGAAAGGAAAAAGCCCAGGAAAUCGUCUAUUUUCCAAAAAUUUCCUGUCAUGGCCUUUUUCCUUUCACUUUUCUUCUCAUUGUUUAUAUUUGUCCCCAAGCCACCAGUCAUGAACAACGGCACCUAUACGGCAGCUGUUUAUGCCGUUUUGCCAAUCGAAUAACCAUU